AUUUAUAAUGGUAAGAUAAUUGCAAAUUCAGUUCACCUGUUAAAUGGUCCCAGGUUGCAUAUCUUUGGUCGUAGGUUCAAAUCUCGGGAGUGCCUCCUUGCUGAUUUUUUUAAUUGAAUAACUGGAUUGCCUGGUUCAAAUCUUGCUGGGUUGUCCCGUUCAACUGGGUCAAUCCCUGUUUCAAAAAGAGAAAAACAUGGGUUUAUGUUUGAACCAAGCCGGCUGUUGGUCCAGUUCCUGGUUAAACCAGUCCAGUCCGGUUCUAACAACCAGGAUAUGUAAUGAAGACCUACAAGAUCAUUUUGUGAUUUUUUAUGGUAGUUCUGGGGUAAUAUCUUUUUGGCGUCACACCUUCCUCAAAAGAACAAGAAACUCGUGUUUGUGAAUAAACUUUGUUAAGAAGCAUGAAUUACAAUAGUCAAUCCUCCGUAAUAGUUAUGCCUGUUUUUGUCAUGGCACAUGAAAUUGUAAAUAGUAACUUAAUAAACAAUACCUCGGAUAUGGUUAAUCAUUAAUGUGCUUAAUUGACUGCACAGAAAGCAAACUGUGUACUUAAGUAGAAUGCCUUGUUUAGAUAGAAUGGUUUCAAGACAGGAUUGCAGAAAUAUAAAUGAAUGAAUGCUUUUAUGGAGAUCUUGUUAUACCAACUGCAGUAAUUGCUGAUCAAUCUGCGUAGUUAACCAGUUAUUGCCCUGCUAAAGGGCUAAAGUGGUUUCUUGAGCAAGGGGGACCAGAAUGGAAGAAGUGACAGAGACAAAAUGAUAUCUUAUGGUUUAACAAUGAAUAUUCAAAAUAUGAGAGACUAUAUGAAUGAAGGAGCCCUAAUGGUUAGGAUGUGCUUUUGAUCAAUGUGGUGAUGAUUUUUGUUUUCUGAAAUAAUUUUCCUUGCAAGGAUUGAAUUAUUUGUUUUAUUGGAAAAUUGUUUUAUUGUCUCCAUGGAGUUAUUAGAUUGUUGAGUAUUUUUUCCCCCUGCUAAUUUUUAGUUUUAUUUGCAAUACUGAAGGGUGAUCUACAAGCUUUAGAGGACUUGACUUAUGAGAGGAGGAAGAAAUUCUUGAUGAAACAUCAUUUGCCCAGAGAACUUCCUGUUGUAUCAUUCCACACAGAAGCUGGGACUAGCCCUGCAGUUCUAGCCACGCUAUCUCAUGUUGCUCAUGCAGAGUUACCAUUGGUGGGUGAACCAGCGAAAGUUCCUGUGGUGAUUCCCCUUGGUGCUGCAAUGGCUGCAUGUGCUCAGCUGUUGCAAAUUAGGUAUGGCGAGAAGAGUGAUGGGCUUGUCACAUGUCGUGACGCAGAAGUCCCUGGAUCCAUUGUAGUGCGCCCUAAACGCAAAUUGGACCAUGCUUGGAUGGUCUAUUCCUCAUUAAAUGACGACCCUUCUGAAGCAGAUGCUUCUCGUGUGUGCUAAAGCAGAUGCUUCUCAAGUGUGCGAAGCUCUAUCAGCGUUGCUUGUGGAAGUUAGACAAAAGAAGAGACACGAACUUGCAAUAAAAGAUGAGUGAGAGCCUCUUGCGAUUUAUGCCUUUCACUGAUUGUUAUGCUACUCCUGUACAUCAAUAGCAAAUGGCUCUUGGUGCCAUUUGAAAUUGUAAAUAUAUAGCCCCUAGUCACCAAGAAUUAGAUUUUGAUAUCAUCUAGUUAUGCUCUUUGACUAAUGAAAUCGAUAACACUGUUACAACGCUAAUGUAAAAUAAAAAAUGAAUUUUUUUA
rnacentral:misc_RNA from 1 species